rnacentral:rRNA from 1 species
UACGGAGGGGGCUAGCGUUGUUCGGAGUUACUGGGCGUAAAGCGCACGUAGGCGGCUUUGUAAGUUAGAGGUGAAAGCCCGGAGCUCAACUCCGGAAUUGCCUUUAAGACUGCAUCGCUAGAAUCAUGGAGAGGUGAGUGGAAUUCCGAGUGUAGAGGUGAAAUUCGUAGAUAUUCGGAAGAACACCAGUGGCGAAGGCGACUCACUGGACAUGUAUUGACGCUGAGGUGCGAAAGCGUGGGGAGCAAACAGG